AGAUAAGGAACCUGAAGUUCGAAAAGCUUGCUCCAAGUGCACCCAGCAUCUAAGCCUUGAACCGGCUUGUAAGCCUUUCACCCCAGAAGCCACAUUCCCCACCGCACCAAGAAAAGGAUGCAAUUCCAGUUAAUCUGACCCACAAACACUCAGGGCAACGGUGACCUUGACCCUGAUGACCUGGAGUCCUGGGAUUGCUGACUGCUCUGCGGCUGUGCACCACCCUUCUGGGCCAGAAAGCAUCUGUUUGUUUAGUGCCCUGAAAAACAGACCUCCCCUCUCCUUCCUGCAAGCUAAGCAAGAAUGUUCUCCCUCUCACGAGCAGCAAGGACUGAGGUCAGCAUCUGGAGAUCCUGA